rnacentral:misc_RNA from 1 species
CUUCUCGCAGCUCUUUCCUCAAUAGUGAAAAAGCAGAGUUAGAUCCUCCCUUACGCAAUCUCCUUUUCCGCUGCACGUGAUCUUCGGUCAAGGAACACCAGACUCCAAUUUAAAUGAAAUGACAGUAAGUUAAACACAAGACAGAAGCUUUAAGAAUGUCCAACUUCAGAGAAUAAAUCAAUAUGCCAAAUUCAAAAUAAAAGAAUCUAAACAAAGGCUGCUUCAAAAAUAAAGUUGUAAAUCAAAGCAAUAACUGAGAAAGCAAACGAAAAGGAGAGAAGGCAUUAAUAUUAAAGUGGGUGCAGAAAAAUUCUCCACCUUAGAAAUUAUAAAAAUCCUAAGAAAGCAAGGCUUCCUUGGUCACUCAAUAAAUGAACAGCUGAAACACAAAAACACAUGCCUGUAGCUUACUCAACAACAGGACUGAAAACCAUAAGUAAAAAUAAAACCAAAUUGAUAUAAAGGAUAUCUUAAAGAAGUUGCCAUGUUGCAU